AUGGCGGAGCCACAGCCCCCGGUUUGGGCUCCCUGCACCGCUGGGAGCAUCCCCAGGGUCCCCCCCCCCCUCCCCCUGCGCCGCGGUUUCGUGUGCCUCCCGCUCCGGGCUCGCUGCCGGCUGAAAUCGCGGCCCCCGCUUUGGAUUCGCCCGAAAAGGGGCUCUGAGGAAGGGGGCUCAGGGCUUAGUGUUAUCUUCCCCCCUUCUUGGAGGAGGCAGAGUGGUGAAAAUCGUGGCCUCGUGGUUCUGGUAUGGCUGUCUCAGCCUGCUGUAGCAGUGCUGGGGAAGGCUGCGUGGGGGCAGAAGGGAAAAUGGUCGCGCACCCCUGCUGCGCGCUGUAGUUCAGCUGCAGGGCUUCGCUCCUUCCUCCCAGCUACAAUUAAAACAAAAUCUGCACGGAGUGGCCUCUGCUUAUACAAGCAUUUUCUCUGCUGUGCUAGCAGUGCCUAUCAGAGCCACGCAGGUGGGAAUGCUGCAGGAAAACCGCUCUCGUUGUGCCUGAAGGAGGUCACCGCGUUCACAACCGGCCGCCAAGGGGACGCAGCAGAUUCCCAGCACGCCUGGGAAGUCUUUGAAAGCCAGCAGACAGGACCAAGAGCAGAAGGGAGGUACAAAACAUGCAGCCCUUCACCGUGGGCUCUGCACGUGGUGGAUCAGAUGUACGGAGACGUCCACCAGGACAGCGUGCAGGACGAUAUCCUGAGGCACCUGACGUCAGUUCCUCCGGCAUCCGCCAAGCACACGGUCCCACGGCAGCACCACGGCGUUUUCGUUUUGCUCCACAGCAGAGACCGUGUUUGCAGGCCCCGGCUGUGGCACGGGCAGCCACCUACGGUGGCACUUCAAAGCAGCCCCCCCACCGCUGCAAAGGGAAGCUGGCUGGGAUUACACAGAGGCGCCGCAGCAAAGAGAAACUUCACAGCCAGCUGGGCGCAUGGAGGGCUCGAUGCGGUGAGAAACGGCCUGAUGCAUGCCAGGUUCCACAUGAAGCUAAGGCAAAACCUCUUGCAUGUGGACAGGACUGAAAAAAAAAAAAAAAAGAAAAAAAAAAAAAAAAACAACUCAAGAAUGCUAACCAUCAUCCCGUUGCACAUGACGUUUCCUGCUUUUGCUAUGGCUCAAUUUGACUGA
rnacentral:lncRNA from 1 species